UCAGAAACCUGAAAAGACUCCAGACAAAGACUAGGAGAAAGAAGCAGCGGAUGCCUGGGAAACGAGGCUGCUGCGCUGAACUCACGCUGGCCGUUGAGCAGCCACUGUCUGCUGCAUACUGAUGUGUGGCGACGAGACUGGGCUUCCACAGACCAGGACAAGCGACACCUCAUUUGUGUACACAGGUGCAGACCAGACUCACUUCUCCUUGGCAUGGAGGAUACCAGUCUUGCACACAUUUCUGGAAAGAUGUUCUGUCAUUCUUCAGAGAUUUCUGUGUCAGUGAUCAGAGGUGUGUUCAGUGUUCGAGUUUCUACUUUGAGGCCUGUAUUUUCAGAAAUCCUGAAUGUCAUGAGGUGGAAGUGUGCUUUUGAGGUGGAAUAAUGGGUGCCGUGAAGCUCCUGGUACCGUCUCAUGCCGUGCCACUGAUGGACAGAUAUUGGAUUUGCUUGAGGAUGCCUCGUUUUGAAAUCCAGCAGACAGCAGAGCUUUGGAAAGGAGGGGCUGUGUAAUUAGUGUGAGUGUUUAAUUAGGUUGUGGGCUUAGAUUGCGCUGAGUGCUAUUGAGAUGGA
rnacentral:lncRNA from 1 species